CCCCCCCCCCCAGGCCGUGUUCGCUCACAGGGGUGCUGGGGGGCAGGGCGGGGCCCGGGGAGACCCCCACCCGCCAGCCCGACCCUCCCCUCACAGGGAACAAAGGCCCUAAUCCACGAGGGGAGGAGCCACCGCGCCCCCUGAAGGCCCUACUUCCGGCCCGAGGCCCCCUGCCUCCCAAGACUGUUCCCCGACCGACGGAAGGCAACCUGCCGCAGAGGCGCGAGCGGGCAGGGCUGAGAAGGGGGGCCCUGCGCCCCGGGACGUGCCCGCAGCAGAGGCUGAACCCGGAGGACCCGGACCUCCACCUCUGGCCUCGCCCGGGCUGGUGCUGGGGGCAGGGGCAGGGCCUCGCCGGCCAGAGGGACGUGGGGAUAAAAGGCUGCCACGGAACUGGACUCCCCCUGCCCUGCACGGACGACCUGACAGAGGGGGAGGCCCAUUCCCAGGCCCCGAGGACGACCCGCCCUGGUCCCCCUGGUCCCCCUGCCCCUCCACCGCCACGCGGCCUUCCGUCCGAGUCAGGAGGCCCGACCCCCUUGUCAACCGAGCCAGACCCGAGAACACCUGCUUGCCACGUGCACCUGGCUCAUCCGCCUACAGCCCUGCACCCACCACCCCUCACCUCUCCCUGGCCCGGGCGCUCAGGAUGUCUCCGCAGAGGCCCUCAGGGGACCCUGUCGCAGCGCCCCGGCUGGGCCUGUGGGACGGCGCACACCGGGAGGACCCCGCGACAGCGGUCCCGGUGAGGAGGGUCCUACCCCCAGGCCACAGGCCCCCAUUUCCAAGACAAAGCAGCUUCAAGCCCUAGAUCCCUGACUAUGGUGAGCCACCGGCGGGCUGGGCAGUGUUCACACUGGCCCUUCGGGGACCUGCCCACGACGUCCCCUGCCCUGCUCUGGGUUGCCAAGGCCUCUUCGUUUUGACUUGCAGGACUCUCCCCUCAAACGUAAACGCGGACUCCCCGUUGGUUGUCGAUGUUAGAAAAGAAAAACACUUCUCUCAGAUUCCCACCUGUUCAGUGCACAGCGUCCUUCCCUGACACAAAUGCUUCCUCUGGAUCCGGCCAAACCCACUGGGCCAUUGACGUGUCUGGGGUCUUAAAAGGCUUCCCACGAGAAACACUCCUUCCGUGGCUGCUCUGCCUCCAGCUCCAGCCGUGUCUAACAGAACUCUGGUUUCGAGAGCUCGGGUCUACACUGGCAGCGAGCGUAAACGGUUACAGGCCUCACCGCUUCUUUCUGACAUGACCGCCGUGUUAGUAUCAGAGGAAACUGAGGUGACGUAAAGCAAAAUAUUUUAAAACGUACCUGAUUUCUUUCUACACGCCAUUCUCUAAAAACGUCUAAGCAACUAAAGCCAUCGACAUCUUUAAAACGUGCCUUUUCAACCACACUGCAACUUAAGAAUUCCUCGUUCAUAUUAAAGUCACCACCGGCUUUUGCAGGCUGGCGUCCUGGGUUCAUUUAAAUGACGAUGCGGGACACGGAACCACCUGUGCGAGAUCCUGCCUCCUAAAUGCCGUCUGCGUGGAAAAUACCGGUUGGUCCAGUGCGCCACCCCAGGCAGGCCUUAACUGAGAGCAGGCGGGCCACCUCCUUGGGCGGCUGGGCCUGGGCCUGGGGACAGGGGGUGGGACCAGGCCGGUGGGCGCCCCAGAAGGCAGCCCCGGGCCCGCCACCUGCCUGGGGUCCUCUGUCUCCCGGUCCCACGUGCCUUGAUGCUCUGCUCUGCAGCUUUGCAAACUCGAGCGUAAAAACGGUUCGGAGAUCUUAGGCCUUAGUGAGGACAGCAGGGCCUGUUGUAAAAGGGCAAAAGUAAUUGCCGCUGAGAACUGCUUCUCAGAAUGUCUAGAGCACAGCACUCGGGCCAAACACCAUGCGCAGAACGUAAUGACCUCUGCAGAGAAUAACCGAAUGCAAACAUUGAUCCAAACAGGUUUCUUAUUUUCAGGAUUCGCCACGUCAUCACUCACUUACUCAUCUCUCCAGACACACGGAUAGGAUUUUAUUAGUUACAACAUUUUCGACAGGAGGGGACGUGGGUGGGGGGAGGGGCUAGAUGGGUGACGGGCGUUAAGGAGGCACCUGUUGGCACGAGCACCGGGCUUCGUAUGGAAGUGAUGAACCACCGGGUUCUCUUCCUGAAGCCAAGACUGCAGAGUAUGUUAAUUGACUUGGAUUUAAAUAAAACCUCGGAGGAAAAUAAACGUUAAUUUUUGAGCUAGAAUAAACCUUAUAAACCAAUCUCUUCCUUUUACCAACAAAGCCCUUGAACCCUCAAGGCGUCAAGGACCGGGCCAAGGUCUCACCUGGUUAACAAUUCAUGUCCGCCUCUCACCUCUGACCUAGUGGAGCCGGAGAGAGCACACAGGGGCUCGAUUUGCCAUCAAAUUGCUCAGAACGUUUCCUAAAACAACAGACUUCAGAGCCGGCUCGUCUAGUCACCCGCAAGGCUUGCAAUUUCAGAUGUACUUUUUAAAAAUACUUGAGUCUGCUGACCUUAGCCUCUAAGCAUAAACAGUGUGGGGGGAGUUCAAACACACUAGCCUAUGAAGAAGAAACCUCGCUGAAAAGGCUUUAAUGUGGCGCUUCGACGUGUCCAGGAGCGGCCGUGAGUCAUUCCACAACACGCGCUACGUCACCGACGAAGCAUUUUCCCAUUACCGUCAAAAUAAUUACAUUUAUGAUAAACCACAGCAAAAAACAAACAAAAGCUUUCCAAUUCUUUCCCGGAAUGCCAACAACUAAUGGAAGUGAGCAGUUGAAGAAGAUUCCAGAAAAUGCAAAUGGCCCUGAGUGCUCCAGUGCAAUCCUCCUUUUCCAACAACGUGCAGGGGUCACUACGAGCCCCGCGUCACCAGCAAAACCUGUCAACAAUUUGAAUGUUCUCCUUAAAAUGGAAAAACAGCUCACGGUGACACCAGCUUUACAAAAUAACACAUCCACGAAGCAUGUUUCUAUUUUUAAUUUUUUUGCUUUGAUAAAUCAAUUGCUUCACAAAAAUCCCCUUUCGAGACAACAAUCCAAGAAAA